AUUGAACGCUGGCGGCAUGCCUAACACAUGCAAGUCGAACGGCAGCACAGCAGUAGCAAUACUGUGGGUGGCGAGUGGCGGACGGGUGAGGAAUACGUCGGAAUCUGCCCAGUCGUGGGGGAUAACUAGCCGAAAGGUUAGCUAAUACCGCAUACGACCGAGAGGUGAAAGCGGGGGACCGCAAGGCCUCGCGCGAUUGGAUGAGCCGACGUCGGAUUAGCUAGUUGGCGGGGUAAAGGCCCACCAAGGCGACGAUCGGUAGCUGGUCUGAGAGGAUGAUCAGCCACAAUGGGACUGAGACACGGCCCAUACUCCUACGGGAGGCAGCAGUGGGGAAUUUUACGCAAUGGGCGAAAGCCUGACGUAGCGACACCGCGUGAGCGAAGAAGCCCCCUUGGGGUGUAAAGCUCUGUCAGCUGGAACGAAAAAAAUGACGGUACCAGCAGAGGAAGCAUCGGCUAACUACGUGCCAGCAGCC
rnacentral:rRNA from 1 species